UCUACGGGUGGCAGCAGUGAGGAAUAUUGGUCAAUGGGCGCGAGCCUGAACCAGCCAAGUAGCGUGAAGGAUGACUGCCCUACGGGUUGUAAACUUCUUUUAUAAGGGAAUAAAGUGAGGCACGUUUGCCUUUUUGUAUGUACUUUAUGAAUAAGGAUCGGCUAACUCCGUGCCAGCAGCCGCGGUAAUACGGGGGUUCCGAGCGUUAUCCGGAUUUAUUGGGUUUAAAGGGAGCGUAGAUGGUUGGUUAAGUCAGUUGUGAAAGUGUGCGGCUCAACCGUAAAAUUGCAAUUGAUACUGGCAGUCUUGAGUGUAGGUGAGGUAGGCGGAAUUCGUGGUGUAGCGGUGAAAUGCUUAGAUAUCACGAAGAACUCCGAUUGCGAAGGCAGCUUACUAAACUGCCACUGACGUUGAUGCUCGAAAGUGUGGGUAUCAAACAGGAUUAGAUACCCUUGUAGUC
rnacentral:rRNA from 1 species